GCGUCAAAGGCCUAAGUUAUUUAUUUUUCCAAAAAAAAGUUCAGCGCACUUCAAAUUGAUGAUUGCGAACUGCAGAAGAACCAAAUUCCAACAGUCGGAUGAAUUUUAAUUAAUUUGAAUCUUGUCUGGUUCUGGACUGAAUUGAUCUAAUCUCCAAUUUGCAAUCGUCGCAAUUUCCAAUGUGUGUCUGUUGAUAUAGGCUUUAGAAACAUGGUCGUUUCUUCUAUUUUUUUACAUGAAAUCACUCGGUCGGAGCUUCGCUGGAGCAGCCAGACGUCUGCCGUUCAUCGAAGCAUUCGGAAAAAAACGAAACGAUUGAAAUUAAUCUACAGCACUAUACUUCUACAAUUCAAUAACCAUAAGAGUAAAUAUAUACGUUUGCACGAAACGAUGUAGAAUGAACUAGUCUCUCAUCUCAAACUUAACGCAAAAACGAACCUAUAAUGUUCCUUGAAAACCCCUGGACAUUCUAAACUUGAAGUUGAUAUAAGAAUCGGGAGGAUAAACGAUAUAAAAAGAACUAGAAAAAGAUAGCGAGCAAGAUUAAACCGAGACUAA